AUGCCUCAAUCAUCUGAGAACAGCUCAGACAAGAAAAUCUCUGUCAAGAAAAGGCCGGUAAAGCCUUCAAGAAGGCUCCUUGGAGAAAUUGUGAUUCCUACUUUUGUCCCAAGAGAUUUCAAAUUUAUGAACAAAGCCAGAGCACUCCAUGAAUACCUAUUCAGCAAAGAUGGACAGGACAAAUGCGUAGAUCUAAACAUAUAUAUUAGCUCGAAGCGACCUGAUUGGAUUACAGGAAAACAAGCAAUGGAACAGCUACGGAAAGGAGAUCAUGGACAGAUGGAGGGCUCCAUCGCAAACGCAUUGUUCGACGAAUGGACAGUGCAGCAAGAAUACAACACGACCGAUAAAGCCAUACUUCCCACAGAAUUUGCAAACAUCGUGCUCGGUGUUAAAAUUGGAGAAAAAGGAGGACUAGCAGAAUUCAAUGAGGAAGAAGCAUUGAAACAGUUUGCACCCCUUGUAACAGGGAAGGAACUUUUAAAGAAAAAGCUGAUUAUGAUACCCCACAACACAACUAAACACUACACAUUGUAUGCUCUCAACAAGUACACGAGCUCCAUCGACAUACUUGACUCACUUAAUUACAGACACGGAGGCGGAAAAAAUUAA
rnacentral:rRNA from 1 species